AGCAAAGACCUGAGGACCUUCAAGAGUGUGGCCCCAGCGGGCUCCAGCCUCCGAGCCUAGCUCGGGAGGCGUGGUGUAGAAAAUGGCAGACUAGGGCAUCCAUGAAGACCGGGCGGCCCCAAGCCGAGAGGCAUGGCAAAACAGGGGUUGCAGGUGGCUGUUCUGGCAGAGCGAGGAGGAUGGAUUUGAAGAAGACAGGAAACCCGGGCACAGAGAGGUUAAGUAACUUGCCCCAGGGCACACAGCUAGCUGAUGUCAGUGCCAGAAUUCCAACCGCGGCUGUCGGACCCCAUGCCAUCCUCAUGUCAACCCACUAAGGACGGGAUCCUUCUGUCCAUCUUAAAGAUGAGGCAACUAAGGCACAUGGAAAUUUAAGUAUAAUACCUUGCCCAAGGUCACCUAGCUGGAAAAUGGACGAGACAGAAAGCGAACCCAGGGCUCCUUUCUGUACGCAGAACCCGCGGUCUUGGCCAUAGGCGAUGCCACUUCCGACAGCCCAGCAGGGUCUGGCCCUGGGUCCCAGAGGCGCAGCCCCUGCGGGGUUUGGAUGGGUUCCUGCGGCCUCCGAUCCGCUGGUGAAUUGGGUGUGUCUGAGCAUCGUCCCCGCUCAGCCCGCAGGCGUAGGAUAGGGAGGCGUCUCCGGGAAUCUACUCCGGGACGGGUCCGCGGUCCUCAGUCGGGAUGGAGCGGGGGCGGAGGCAGCCGGAGGGAACUGGAGUCCCCAUUGCAGAACUGCGGGGCCGGGCUCUGGGCUGGGCGCCUGCCCCGCGCGGCCGGCAGAGGGCGCUGCCGCACACGCCUUGGAUCUCACUGUCACUGGGACCUCGGGGCAGGCUGACGUCGGCCUGCAGACGCCUGGACUCAGAACCCCGAAGCAAGAAGCUUCCCUUCCUGGUGGCUGCCAUCCCUCAGGCCCACCAUUUCAGCCCUGGACCUGCUUUCCCUGACCACUUUUCCCCAUCUUCUGUGCUCCUGCCAUCCCACCACUGGCCUUCAAGACUUCCCCAGUCCCUGCACAGCGGGUUUUGUCAUCUGCUGAGAGGCGCGGACACUGAUUCCCAUCCCAUUAAAAGGCCUAGAUGUCUGCAAGUCAAAUUCAGCCUUGCUUCCCCUUCUCGCCCUCUGGUGAUUUAAAAUAGGGAUACAUCAUCUACUUGGAAUAAAUGACUAAUUUUUCUCUUCUCCAAAAUACGGUGGGUAUGGGGAGGGUUGGUUAAGUAGGCGCACACAGAUGAAAGGAUCUAUUUUCAUAAUAGCUACCGAGUACAGAGUGCUUCUUUUGCGCUGAGCCCUUUAUGUGCUUUGACUCAUUAAUCCUCACUACAGCCCUAAGAGGUGUGGAUGAUGAUUGCUGUUUGAUGGAUGAGGUCACAAGGCUGGUAAGUGGCAAAGCUGGGAUUCUUCCCAGGAGUGUCUGACUUUAAAGCUAUGUUCUCAUCACCCAGAAUGUACACGCUGAAACAACUGAACAGAAGAGGUAAGAUGCAAAUCAUGAAAAACAAAUCAAAAUCUACGCUGAGAGUGCAUAGAAAUACCACAUGUCAUGGGAGGCUUGACCAGCUUGAGUCCCCAAUGUGGGACUCAGAUGUUGAACAGAAAAACAAAACCUAAAGGUGCAAGGAGAGAAUAAGAAUGAGGCUUUUGGCUUUAGCUUGGAAGAGCAUCCGGAGAGGCCCACUCACUUUCUAUGUCUGGGCUCUGAGAAAAUAAAGGUGGUUCUAGGAAAAUCUGAAAAGUAUGGGAGAAAGAAAAAAAAAAUCCCUUUUGUGGUUUUUCCUUUAACCAAGCCUCAUUUUGCUAUUUGUGUUUUAUUUUAAAAUUAAUGUGGCUCUCCCCACCCUUUAAAUUGGCACAUAAAUAGCAAAAACAGAAGGAAAGCCAGCUACAAACUUAAAAUGUGGUGGGUUUCUCAGGAAGGAGGUACAUGACUUGAAAUGGAAAUGAGGAUUAAAUGAGAUGCCUUAAACAUUUCAAAAACAGACUUUCCACAAGGAAUUUAGAUCAUAAGCCCUUAGGGCAGAAGCUUUGUCUGGGUCUGGGCUUGGUAUAGUGUCUAGAAUCUGUGAGUGCCCAAUGAAUGUGUAAAACAAAUCACCCUUUUAGUACAUGCUUGCAUCAUCUGACCAUCUGGGCUACCACGUUGCUUAUGGUUUUAUUUAUUAUUAUUAUUAUUAUUUAUUUUUUGAGACGGAGUCUCACUCUUGUAGCCCAGGCUGGAGUGUAAUGGCACAAUCUUAACUCACUGCAACCUCUGCCUCCUGGGUUCAAGUGAUUCUCCUGCCUCAGCCUCUCGAAUAGGUGGGAUUACAGGCACCUGCCACCACACCCGGCUAAUUUUUGUAUUUCUAGAAAAGAUGGGGUUUCACCAUGUUGGCCAGUCUGGUCUCGAACUCCUGACCUCAGGUGAUCCGCCCACGUCAGCUUCCCAAAGUGCUGGGAUUACAGGCAUCAGCCACCACGCCCGGCCUGCUUAUGGUUUUGAAGUGUUGCUUCUGGGGUGAUAUUCCUGUCCUCUAGAUCUCAGUCACUCCUCAGACCCCUCCCUUUUCCAGAAAUUUGCUCUGGAAAUUCAAUCAAGGUGAGGCAAUAGGUGAUGAUGUCACUAGGCUUGGUGAAGUAGAAUGACUGCUCAGCUCUGGAACCACCAACUGGAGGUUUUUCCAAACGAGGAAAACAAAGUCAUGGGACUUGUCACUUAAUAGUUCUGACUGUAUUGCCCUGUGCCUUUAAACUGGAAGAAUUCCCCCUCUUCACCCAAUACCCUGGCCAUCCCAGGUGGCCUCCUGCAAAAUUAUUGGACUUCUUUGCCCUUUCCUCAGUCUGCUUCUUCUUCCCUCCUUCUUUCAGUACCUUCACUCCACAGACAUGUAUUGAGAGCCCAUUAUAUGUAGGUGCUGGGAGGACAGCAGAGAACCUAGCAUGAGCUCAUGGGCUCACCUUCUCCUGUUCCCACCUCCACCUGGCUCCUUUCUUCAUGGCUCCAACUUUCAGGUUUGGCUCCACCAUAGUAACUGACUUGCUUCUCCAUGUGGGAACAACUACUCAGACACUUUUUUUUUUUUUUUUUUUUGAAACGGAAUUUCACUCUUGUUGCCCAGGCUGGAGUGCAGUGGCACCAUCUCAGCUCACCGCAACCUCAGCCUCCUGGGUUCAAGGGAUUCUCCUGCCUCAGCCUCCCGAGUAGCUGGGAUUACAGGCAUGCACCACCACACCCGGCUAAUUUUGCAUUUUUAGUAGAGACAGGGUUUCUUCAUUUUGGUCAGGCUGGUCUCGAACUCCCGACCUUAGAUGAUCCGCCCACCUCCCAAGUGCUGGGAUUACAGGCAUGAGCCACCAUGCCUGACCAGACACAUCUGACAUUCUAUCAGCUCCGGGCAGCUUCCUGAGACCAUACCUGCUGACUUUAGAACCCCACCUUGGGGGUACCCAUUUGGCAGGUUUGGAUCCUGAUGGACCUUCAGGAGCAGAACUUGGGAAUGUUCUAGCUCCAGGACCUGCCAAUGCCGUCCCAUCCUUUCCUAGUUGGCUUUCCUUCCAUUCAUAAGAACACUGUGACAACUGAAAUAAUUCAGGUCAUAUUUAUGAAACAUCUAUUACAAUGAGAAUCCCAUAGUGACAUAAUACUCCACUGUUCACAGGAAAAUGCUAGCUAAAACAAACAACAGUGACUGUCUGGCAAGGGACGCAUCGAAUAAUGCUUAUGAGUCUUUUGGGUCUUUUUUUUUUUAAUCUUGGGAUCGAGUGAUUGAUAAUAAUGAAGGGGAAGGAAGACAUUAGGCCUGUUUUAGUUCUCAGAAUUAUUCACAGGGAAUAGACUUUCACCAUCAACACCCUAAAGAUGCAGAAUGCUCAAGGUAAAUUGCCAGUUUUUGUCUUUCUGGAAAAUCCAUUAAUACUGAAUGAUCUUGGUCUUGACCCAUUCCAAAAAAAAAAAAAAAAAAGAGGAUUGAGCCAUGGGAUUCAGAUUAUGUCCUUGAAAAUCCCUUUAAAAACUAGAUUCCAAAUCAGUGCUCUCAUUCUUCUUGAAUAUCCCACCCACCAGCUUAGCUUGUCCUAUCCCUUCUAGAUACAGCAUUAUUUUCUCUCUUUGAGGAAGAAUGGCCCAGAGGCCGGAAGAGUGAGGGAACGUAAGAACGACUUUUCCACUGACCUGAGUUGCUAAAGCCAUUUGGACCCAGAGAACUCAUUGUAUAUGUGUGCUGCUCAAUAUAUAUGUGUGCAUGAAUUUGUGGUUGUGCAUUUUCUGGCUAAUAUCCAAAGUCUUCAUAACAAGGGGCCUGAGAUACGACAAAAGGAAGACCUAUGUGUCAAGGACGUGUGUCCACCCACCAAGAAGUUC
rnacentral:lncRNA from 1 species